CCAGUACUGGAAAACAAAACAAUAACAACAAAAAAACUAUUUGGAAUGUGGGGCACUGCAUGUGGACGGUGAUUAUUUUAAUAUUAAACAUGGUCAUCUGGACCCCUUCUAAUAGUUGCAGUGAAAAUAAGACUCCAAGCUACAUUAUUUAGAUCAAGUUUGUUUUAUGACCCUUAGAUCCUGGGCUCAAGCUAUGAAUGAAAUAUUUAAAGAGAUAGCUUUCAAAAAGCUUUUUAGGAUAUGAUAUCAAAAGCAUCAGCAACAACAAAAGAAGUAAGUUGGAAUUCAAAUGAAAAACUUUUGUGGAUACAAUGUCAAGAUGACCAAAUACAGCAGUCCAGUGCUUGCCUCUUCCUCCACAAAGAACCAUACGAACAAACAAAUAGCUAUACUUUGAGGUGAAUGGUCAAGGGAGAGAUGGGAACUCUGUAAGACACAGCUCUGGGACAGGGGCAUAAAGAGUGAAAUAAAAGUAUCAGCAACUACAAUCCCAAGUCUCCAGCUGUAGGGAUCUCCCAUUUCAGGGGAGAGGGUGAAAAGAUGAGUCCCAGCAGAUCCAUUGUUGGUGAUGCCAGCAUCCCUAGCUACAGGAGAAUACCAGUUAUCCAAGGCUUGGAGCCUUGUUAGAAGAGCUCAAGUCUCAUGGCUUUGCUAAUAGAAGAAACCUAUCUCCCUCCCAAAUUCCAGAGCCCAGGAUACUACAGCAAAUUACCAGCUUGAGAACAGACUCACCAAACACACACACCAGUGCAACUGUGGCCAUCCUGGAGUCAGUCUGAGCUGCCUGCUGAGCCUAAGGAUGUGUACCGCAUGCUUCCCACUGCUCUCACCGCCACCUGGCCUGUGACCUGAGCCUCUGCUUAUCUCCAGUAUCUCACCACUGCUGCUACUGCUGAGGAAAUGUGCACCACUGUCCAUGACUCAGCACCCAAACUUGGAUGGAAAGACUGGUUACAUGAUACAUACUUCACCCCGCUGCUGUGUGCACCACACUCACCCGAGCUGCUCUGUUACUCCUUCCCUUGUGUGGCUGCUGGAGACGGAAGGGCUCUCAGCCUUCACCGCUGCAUCUCCAAAGCUGGCAAUUACAGACAAAGAACCUAAGGAGAAACUACAUGACAAUGUCAAAAGAGAAUCAAAGUCAACCUAGCCCACUAAGGCUAUAGCCUAAGAUACAUUUACAGGAAAAAUUCAUUUAUCAUGAAAGUCACCUUAUAAAAUUAGUAGACCCAACAGAUCCAGUAGAUGCCCAAGUCUCAAUGCAGAGACAAGUCUCAAUGUAGUCUCAAGAAGUAUAUGCACAAGAAAUAUACAAAAACAAGACAAUGGGAAGCCUCCAAAGGAUCAGAUCCCAAAGAAAAUGACACUGAUGAAAUGCUUAAUUAAAAAUUCAAAGGAAUAACUACAAAGGAACUAAAUGAGAUUCAAGAGAGGAAGAUAAUUUAAUGAAAUUGGGAGAAUAAUGGUAUAAAUUAAAAUUUCAGCAAAGAAUAAAGUAAUGAAAAAGAAACAGAAAACUUGAAAUGAAGAACUCAGAAGUUCACAUUACAAUAAAAACACAGUUGAAAGACUCAACAGCAGACCAGAUCAGGUAAGAAAGAAUAGCUAAAUGAGAAGACAAGUUUUUUGAUAUAUCCAAGUCAGACAAAAAUUUUUUUUAAAAUUUUAAAUGAAGACAUCCCUGAGAGUUAUAAAAUGUACAAUAUAUUUAUAUUGUAAAUGUCUCUCAAGAAAAAGAAUAUCAGUAUCAUCUUUAUGUGCUGAUAAUGAACUUAGUGAGAAAAUAAUCAUGAAAACAAUACCAUUCACAAUAGUUAAGAAAACAACAAAAAUAAACCAAAAAUGAGGGGCUUAACAAUAAGUCUGAUUAAAGAAGCAAAAAAAAUGAAAAAUCACAAAAUACUGAUAAAAACAUUGAUAACAUGUCCACCUACCCAUAUACCAAUACAUACAAUGGAAAAACCUCCCAUGUUAAUGGGGUCCCUGCUUUGGAAAAACCAAUGUUGUGAAAAUGUCCACAUCUCUUAAAGGACUCUAAUGAUUCAGUGUAAUCCCCAUCAAAAUACCAGUGGUAUUCUUCAUACUAGAAAAAAAAAUUCUAAAUUUCAUAUACAAGCAAAGAAGGCUCUGAAUAGCCAAAAUAAUAUUGAACAUACCGGAGGCAUCACAGUACUUGAUUUCAGGACACGUGACAAAGGUGCCAAAAAUACACUGCUGAAAAGACAGCCACUUCCAUCAAUGGUACCAGGAAAACUGGAUGGCCGUAUGUAGAACCUCCUAAUGACCUCUGUCUCUCACUGUAUGCAAAAGUCAACUCAAAACAGAUCAACUAGUUAACUGCAAAACCUGUAAUCAUGAAACAAUUAGAGGAAAACAUAGGGAAAAAACUUCAGGACAUCAAUGUUGGGAAUUAUUUUUUAGAUAAGACCUUCAAAGCAUAGGCAGCAAAGGAAAAGGAGACAGAUGACAUUAUAUUAAGUGAAUAAGCUCUAUAGUUAAGGAAAGAAAUCAGCACAGUGAUGAGAUAAGCUGCAGAAUGGGAGAAUACAGCAUAUUUACCAGCUCUUCAUCUGACAAAGGAUUAAUAUCCAGAAUACCUAAGCAACUAAAAAACUGAACAAAAAAUAAUCUCAUUCAAAGAUGGGUGAAUGAUCUAAAUAGACAUUUCUAGAAAAAAGAAAGGAAAAGGCUAACAAAUCUAUUAAAAAUGCUCAAUAUCAUUAGCCACCAGGGAAAUACAAAUUGAAGUGAGACACCCUCUUAUCCCAGUUCAAACGGCUACUGUCAAAAAACCCCGAAAAUUACAAAUGCUCAUGAAGAUGUGGAGAUAAGGAGGUUCUAUUUCCUGUUGGCAGGAGCAUAGAUUAGUAGAGACAUGUAAAUUGGAACAGUGUGGAGAUUCCUCAAAAUACAUCAUAUAUCUUGAAGCUCUCCCCAACCGCGUGAAACUAGGGAGAGUGGGUGGGGUGAGGGGAGAGGGGUGACAGGAGGAAUGAAGAAAAUAUGUUAUGCGCAUGUACAGAUCUGCCAAGAUGAACCCCACUGGUCUGUAUAACCAAUAUGCACUACUAAAUAAAGGGGAAAACACUAAUAAUAACUCUAA